GGAUCUCAGUGUUUGUGGCUUCCAGAAGUAGGAUUUGAAGAGAUGAAGAGAAAUAAAGAAGAAAAGAAGUGGGAUCAGAGUGAGUAGCAUGACCGCCACUGUUGAUCCGGCUUCGAGCUCUAGUUCCAUUUCAAUUCUGUCUACCAAGGCAGUCUGGAGUACAUUGGAAUCUCGGUAUGGUGGAGAUGAUAUAGGCCAGAAAAAGUAUGCUGUUGAAAAAUGACUACAAUUUCAAAUGGUGGACGAUAAACCUAUUAUGGAAUAAAUUCAUGAAUAUGAGAAUUUAGUGGCAAAUGUUCUAUUUGAAGGAACGAAGAUGUGUGAAAUACUCCAAGCGAAUGUAUUGCUAGAGAAAUUUCCUUCGUAAUGGAAUGACUAUCGAAAUCACUUGAAACAUAAAAAGAAGAGCUUGAAACUUUAAGAGCGGAUCAACUAUAUGCGCACAGAAGAAGCCAAUAGAUCAACAGAUAUAACUCAUUUCUGAAAAUCUAAAUUUUGUUCAAUGCUAACCUCGUUGAAUCUUCUCCUGGUAACAGAGACAUGUUCCAACAUUUUAAAAAGCACAAUGGAAAAAACUCAUAAAAAGGGGACAAGAUAAGGCUACACUAAUAAAAAAAAACUUCUCCAUGACUACGAGGACGCUAUGGAUGGAAAAUGUGUGUUCAUGAGACACAACAGGAGUACUUGGGAAAAGGAAGAUUAUUUUUAAAUUAACUUAUGGAAAACUUUAGGGGAAAUGUCAAAAAUAGCAAACUUGACAUAAUAUCUACAGCAUAUCGCAAAAUUUUUAGAUUUCAUCAAUAAUAAACGUUGAUAGAUAUUAAUAUGCUUCUAUCAGUUUCUGUCAUUGAUAGAAUCUAAAAUUUUGCUACAUAUUUUAGUUUAUUUUACUAUUUUUAAAAAUACUUUCAAAACUUUAUCUUUAAAUAAUAUUUUAUAUGUACCUUUAUUACGUAAAAAUCUCGUAUAUCGGAGUUUGUUGAAUCGGGUUGGUCUUAAGAUUAUACUAGAAGGUGACAAGGUUAUCCUUACAAAAAAACAGAAACUUUGUUGGUUGUACUAAAUAUUGUUUCAAUGAAUGCAACUGCUUCUAAUUCUGCUUA